rnacentral:rRNA from 1 species
CCAGACUCCUACGGGAGGCAGCAGUGGGGAAUAUUGCACAAUGGGCGGAAGCCUGAUGCAGCAACGCCGCGUGCGGGAUGACGGCCUUCGGGUUGUAAACCGCUUUCGCCUGUGACGAAGCGUGAGUGACGGUAAUGGGUAAAGAAGCACCGGCUAACUACGUGCCAGCAGCCGCGGUGAUACGUAGGGUGCGAGCGUUGUCCGGAUUUAUUGGGCGUAAAGGGCUCGUAGGUGGUUGAUCGCGUCGGAAGUGUAAUCUUGGGGCUUAACCCUGAGCGUGCUUUCGAUACGGGUUGACUUGAGGAAGGUAGGGGAGAAUGGAAUUCCUGGUGGAGCGGUGGAAUGCGCAGAUAUCAGGAGGAACACCAGUGGCGAAGGCGGUUCUCUGGGCCUUUCCUGACGCUGAGGAGCGAAAGCGUGGGGAGCGAACAGGCUUAGAUACCCUGGUAGUCCACGCUGUAAACGGUGGGUACUAGGUGUGGGGUCCAUUCCACGGGUUCCGUGCCGUAGCUAACGCUUUAAGUACCCCGCCUGGGGAGUACGGCCGCAAGGCUAA